CUUGUUAAUUCUGCUUCCAUUGGGAAAACUCAUGUUUGAACCGAGAAAAGUAAGACCAUCCGUCUAACGCGAGAAGCUAUAGAAGCCAGUGAGCAAAAUAUUAUUUUUUUCUUAGUUUUCUGUUCUUUGAACAUUUUCAAUCUUGUCAUAACAUAAACCGGCUUACAAAUGUAAAGUGAUAAAAUUUUAAUAGCGUUUAUAUAACGUUUGUAACUGUAAACACGUGAAUACGAAAUCGCACGUGACACGAGUACAAAGAGGCUUUGAGCUGUCAAGGCUGUGUGUGUUUUUUGGCCGACAACAGUACAUUUAGGAAAUCUUUAUCAAACAAACUCUACAUUCGAGAACAUUCGGUCAAGUGAGUCAUGAUCAAAAAUUAUUUGAUUCCAUCUAAUAGAUCAGCGAUUUCCCAAGUGGAAUAUUUAAUAACCGUUCAAAACGUUUCUCCAAGAAUGCAGAAGAGAUUGGAAUAUUUCUUUGAAUAACACUUACAAAUCAAUUACCUUUUUUUUCUGGUUUUAUUUUGCACGAUUUUUACUCCGAAUAUACGUUCAGUUCUAAAUUAUAAAAGUUUAAACGAACCUUUGUUUGUUAUCGUUUACUUUCUGUAGCUAGAGACUGAACUGUGUUUAAUUAGUUAAAUCAAGACUGCUUAUACAUCUCUUCCGAGAAAUGUCCAGUGUUCAUUGUACCAAGAACUUCGGAUUCAAAGCUACUUGGUAAACGUAAUGUCCUACAUGCGAACUUUGGAGCAUAGGGCAUAGCAUACGUUAUUGACGACAAAAAAGUUUCAUUCGCUUUUCUAUAAUCAUGGCAGAAUAAAGUAGCAAGAAUUGAAUACAGAACGCAACAAAAGGACUUGGUUAUCGUGAUUUGCACAUGAUGUUAUAUCACAUAAACUGAUAGACAGAUGAAUGAAUAGGCCAACGGGCCGAUAGACAACAGAGGAAGAUAUACAUACUUGAAAUGUUAGGCAAAAUUAUGAAUUGCUUAUCAAUAACUUUCCGAUCAAAAUGGCAGUAAAAUAUGAUUUCAACAAGCACAAAGAAAAUUGGAGAGAUCACCGGUCAUCACUUCCAACCAUUCGAGUGGGAAACGACAAGUGAGGAAUUAACGUAAGGAAGACUAAGUGAUUUAUGAAAACUGAAUUGGCUAAAUAGGAAACUUUAAAAUAUCAGAGGUCGUGAAGUUUACCAAAUGAUAACUACCACAGUGAUUUCUCGUUUCUAUAGGUCGUGAAGUUUACCAGGUGAUAACUAACACAGUGAUUUCUCGUUUCUAGAGGUUGUGAAGUUUACGAAAUGAUAACUAACACAGUGAUUUAUCGUUUCUAGGGGUUGUGAAGUUUAUCAAAUGAUAAUUACCAUGGUAAUUUAUCGUUUCUAGGGGUUGUGAAGUUUAUCAAAUGAUAAUUACCAUGGUAAUUUUUAGUUUCUAGAGGUCGUGAAGUUUACCAAAUGAUAACUACCACAGUGAUUUCUCGUUUCUAUAGGUCGUGAAGUUUACCAGAUGAUAACUAACAUAGUGAUUUCUCGUUUCUAGAGGUUGUGAAGUUUACGAAAUGAUAACUAACACAGUGAU
rnacentral:lncRNA from 1 species